CCGAAAUUCGCCCGCUUUGGAGGGCAGGUUUCAAUUAACAGCGAAAAUAAAGGCGGAAAGCCUUGAAGUAGUUAACACCCACAAACAUACACACACAUCCCGAGCACCGCCCCCGCCUCGCCGCAGCGCCGCACUCGCUCCGCGGCACAGCCCGCUCCCGGGGGCGGGAGCCCCGGUACCUCGUGUACUCCCGCAGCCCUUUCACGAACCACACGACGUUGCGGUACCAGGACAUGGUGCUACCGCCACCACCAUGGCGUUGGUCCCGCCUCUGUGUUACGUAAAGGUGCCCUGUCCAGCCCUGCCCGCCGUUGGGUGAGAGCCCGGGGCAGCCCCGCCCGGUCCGACGCCAUUACGGCUGUAGCAGAGGCGCUAAACCAUCUGGACAAUAAUUAACUGGAUGCUGGGUGAUGCAAUAUGGAGGGACUAACCAGUAGGCAGGAGAGAUGGAAUGAGUGCUGACUACUAAACCAGCCAUCUCAGUGAUGAGGCAAUAGAGAUUGUGUGCACGAGAACGCUAAUUUAGCAUUAAACCAAAACAGGAGACUAUUCUGAAUAGGAGGGAUUUUUUGAACCAGGAAUUCUUCUCAUGGAUUGUCAGCGAACACCUGAGGUAGUUAUAGCCAGGAGCUG
rnacentral:lncRNA from 1 species